AGAUAAAGGAAACAUCAUGAAUGAACAGACAAGGAACAAAGUAAGCUCUCCAGUCUCCGAUGCAGCUCAACCGGCAUCUCCAUGCGACUCUUAUGAGAGAAAAUGCUCUCUGUUAUUCUUCGUCUCAUUUUCCUCAGGGAAAUGUCCUAUUUCAGCGGUCGUCGCGAAACCCUUUACGGGAAACAUUGUCGUGGGCGAGAAAUCGAGAGGUUGUGUGGGAGAAGCGGGUUUCAAGCAGGCAAAGGUUCAAGCAAGAAACGGAGAAACUUGCAAGGACGAGCUGCUCCGACGACGACGAAUUUCCCUUUUUAUCUUUAAGUGAUAAACCAGACUGGAAUUCGGCUUUGCUCGAUGACUACGAGAUGGAAGAACUCAACUUUCAGACUGACUCUAAUCACCGAAGCGGUUAUGUAGCUGUGCUGGGUAAACCUAAUGUCGGGAAGAGUACACUCUCAAACCAAAUGAUAGGUCAAAAGCUCUCAAUUGUUACCGAGAAACCUCAAACCACGAGGCACAGAAUUCUUGGUAUAUGUUCUGCCCCUGACUAUCAGAUGAUACUCUAUGACACACCUGGUGUUAUAGAAAAGAAGAUGCACAAGUUGGACAAUCUGAUGAUGAGCAAUGUUCGCCGUGCAGCCAUUAAUGCAGACUGUGUACUAAUUGUCGUUGAUGCAUGUAAAAUGCCUCAAAAGAUUGACGAGGUGUUGGAAGAAAGGGUUGGAAGUGUCCAAGAUAAGGUACCUACUUUGUUGGUGUUGAAUAAAAAGGACCUAAUUAAGCCAGGCAUAAAAUACGUUUAUGUUUGGAUUGUUAAAGUAUCGGAUUGGGUCAAUUCAGCUUUUGCUGAAGGGCCUCUGAAGAACCAUUGGCUGUGGUAUGAGAAAUUCACCGAUGUUGAUGAGGUCAUACCUGUGAGCGCCAAAUAUGGUCACGGUGUGGAUGAUGUGAAGGAAUGGAUACUGUCAAAACUCCCUGUUGGGCCAGCUUACUAUCCAAAGGACAUUGCUAGUGAGCACCCAGAAAGAUUCUUCAUAGCUGAAAUUGUUCGAGAGAAAAUAUUUAUGCAAUAUCAUAAAGAAGUCCCAUAUGCCUGUCAGGUCAAUGUAGUAAACUACAAAACUAGGCCAACUUCAAAAGAUUUUAUUCAAGUUGAGAUAGUUGUUGAGAAGAACUCCCAAAAGAUUAUUCUCAUUGGGAAAGAAGGGAGGGCUCUGAAAGUAUUGGCUACAGCUGCCAGGCUAGAUAUUGAAGAUUUCUUGCAGAAGAAAGUGUACCUGGAGGUUGAAGUGAAGGUUAAAGAGAACUGGAGGCAAGACGGAAGUCUGUUGAAGAAUUAUGGCUAUGGGGGCCAAAUUCAAGUUAUACAAUCCGACUGAACUUUCCAAAUCACAUGUAAUCUCCUAAAAUAUGCCAAGGCCCAAGUCUCUUGUACAAUAACUGAUGGCAGCUAUAGGUGCAAUGAACAUGAGCUCAAUCCAUCGUCCAGAUUCCUUACUGGAAUCCUGAACCCUACAAAACUAAAAGGGGAACCAAAGACGGGGGCUUAUCCAUGCAAUUUUACAGUUCUAUCUCAUUCUGCUCCACUUUGCUACAAAUGGCUGGUAAGUAGCCAUCUAACUAUGUCACACUAUGCACUAUCCCAUGAUAGAAGAGAGAAGGAGGUGGUGGGGAAGGAAAAAACAAAAGCGUGUGUGUGAAGGUUGUGUCGAAGAUGGUAAGGAACAGAGAUAGUGCGUCGGUGGAAGACGGUAAAGAAGAGAGCGAGGGACAGUGAGAUAAAAUCACGAGAGAAGAGGGCGGUUCACGUGUCCAUCAUAUCCCCUGUGCUGGUAACUUUGGUUGGCACUUAAUGGCAUGACAUUAUGGGGACACGACACUGUGGAGUAUGG